rnacentral:rRNA from 1 species
UUGGUCAUUUAGAGGAAGUAAAAGUCGUAACAAGGUUUCCGUAAGUGAACCUGCGGAAGGAUCAUUAUCUAUUUUAACGGUGGUGGUUGCGGCCUCCGGGGGUUCUCCCCUGGGUGGUAGAGGUAACACUCGAACGCGCCACAUGCCUCAAUCCUUUUUUUACGAGCACCUUUCGUUCUCCUUCGGUGGGGUGACCUGCCGUUGGAACUCAUCAAAAACCUUUUUUUGCAUCUAGCAUUACCUGUUCUGAUACAAACAAUCGUUACAACUUUCAACAAUGGAUCUCUUGGCUCUGGCAUCGAUGAAGAACGCAGCGAAAUGCGAUAAGUAGUGUGAAUUGCAGAAUUCAGUGAAUCAUCGAAUCUUUGAACGCACAUUGCGCCCCUUGGUAUUCCAUGGGGCAUGCCUGUUCGAGCGUCAUUUCACCACUCAAGCCUCGCUUGGUAUUGGGCAACGCGGUCCGCCGCGUGCCUCAAAUCGACCGGCUGGGUCUUCUGUCCCCUAAGCGUUGUGGAAACUAUUCGCUAAAGGGUGCUCGGGAGGCUACGCCGUAAAACAACCCCAUUUCUAAGGUUGACCUCGGAUCAGGUAGGGAUACCCGCUGAACUUAAGCAUAUCAAUAAG